UACGGAGGGUGCGAGCGUUGUCCGGAAUCACUGGGCGUAAAGGGCGCGUAGGCGGCCUGAUAAGUAGGGGGUGAAAUCCUGCGGCUUAACCGCAGGGCUGCCUUCUAAACUGUCAGGCUUGAGCACAGUAGAGGCAGGUGGAAUUCCCGGUGUAGCGGUGGAGUGCGUAGAGAUCGGGAAGAACAUCAGUGGCGAAGGCGGCCUGCUGGGCUGUUGCUGACGCUGAGGCGCGACAGCGUGGGGAGCAAACAGG
rnacentral:rRNA from 1 species